rnacentral:rRNA from 1 species
UAGCUAGUUGGUGAGGUAACGGCCCACCAAGGCGACGAUUGGUAGCCGGACUGAGAGGUUGAACGGCCACAUUGGGACUGAGACACGGCCCAGACUCCUACGGGAGGCAGCAGUGGGGGAUAUUGCACAAUGGGGGAAACCCUGAUGCAGCGACGCCGCGUGGAGGAAGAAGGUUUUCGGAUUGUAAACUCCUGUCGUUAGGGACGAUAAUGACGGUACCUAACAAGAAAGCACCGGCUAACUACGUGCCAGCAGCCGCGGUAAGACGUAGGGUGCAAGCGUUGUCCGGAAUUACCGGGUGUAAAGGGAGCGCAGGCGGACCGGCAAGUUGGAAGUGAAAACUAUGGGCUCAACCCAUAAAUUGCUUUCAAAACUGCUGGCCUUGAGUAGUGCAGAGGUAGGUGGAAUUCCCGGUGUAGCGGUGGAAUGCGUAGAUAUCGGGAGGAACACCAGUGGCGAAGGCGACCUACUGGGCACCAACUGACGCUGAGGCUCGAAAGCAUGGGUAGCAAACAGGAUUAGAUACCCUGGUAGUCCAUGCCGUAAACGAUGAUUACUAGGUGUUGGAGGAUUGACCCCUUCUGUGCCGCAGUUAACACAAUAAGUAAUCCACCUGGGGAGUACGACCGCAAGGUUGAAACUCAAAGGAAUUGACGGGGGCCCGCACAAGCAGUGGAGUAUGUGGUUUAAUUCGAAGCUACGCGAAGAACCUUACCAGGUCUUGACAUCCGAUGCAUAGUGCAGAGAUGCAUGAAGUCCUUCGGGACAUCGAGACAGGUGGUGCAUGGUUGUCGUCAGCUCGUGUCGUGAGAUGUUGGGUUAAGUCCCGCAACGAGCGCAACCCUUAUUGCCAGUUACUACGAAAGAGGACUCUGGCGAGACUGCCGUUGACAAAACGGAGGAAGGUGGGGAUGACGUCAAAUCAUCAUGCCCUUUAUGACCUGGGCUACACACGUACUACAAUGGCGUUUAACAAAGAGAAGCAAGACCGCGAGGUGGAGCAAAACUCAAAAACAACGUCUCAGUUCAGAUUGCAGGCUGCAACUCGCCUGCAUGAAGUCGGAAUUGCUAGUAAUCGCGGAUCAGCAUGCCGCGGUGAAUACGUUCCCGGGCCUUGUACACACCGCCCGUCACACCAUGAGAGCCGGGGGGACCCGAAGUCGGUAGUCUAACCGCAAGGAGGACGCCGCCGAAGGUAAAACUGGUGAUUGGGGUGAAGUCGUAACAAGGUAGCCGUA